UGGAGGUGAAGUGUCUGGGACAGACUGU
rnacentral:piRNA from 1 species